rnacentral:misc_RNA from 1 species
GGCAGGAGAAGGAGGCGCUGAAGAAGGUCGAGACGAUCUCGAAGCGCCUGCUCAAGGCGUCGAACGGGAACGGAUCGUCCAAGAGCGCGUCGCGCGCGAAGACCGCGUCGAAGUAGUCGAGGAGCGACAGGGGCGAGGCAUCGCCUCGCCCCUGUCCCGUCAGAGCACGAAGGUCGCGAAGUCCACGCCGGUGACGUGCACGGCCACGUUGUGCACCGGCACCGUCCCUAUCGCCCCGUGCAUCGCGCCAUGGUGGGCGUGCCCGUGGACGACGAGGUCCGGUCGAUGCAUGCCGAUCGGGCCUGAGAGCCGGCCCGAGCCGAGAAAAGCCCAGAUCGCCUCGGGCUCCCCGACGAUCGUCUCCGUUGUCGGCGCGUAGUGGAGGAGCACGAUGCGCUUGUGACAGCCCGAGACCGCCUCGAGGCCCUGUUAGAGGGCCUCGACCUCGAGCGUCGUCUCGUGGUAGAUCCGCCGCAGCGCCGGCUCGCCGAAGUCCGGGAUCUCGGCACCCUCGAACCCGCCGACGAAGCCCUUCGUGCCCACGAUGCCGACCUCGAUCUCGCCGAGCUCGAGGAUGACGUGCCCGCGGUCGAGCACGACGAUGUCUCCCGCACGCAACGCUUGCUCGACCUCGGUCGCACAGCCCGAGUGAUGGUCGUGGUUCCCGAGCACCGCGACGAUCGGAACCGAGACACCGGCACACGCGUCCGCGAGAACCGUGGCCUGCUCGGGAAGGCCGUGGGUCGUGAGAUCGCCUGCGAGCAGCACGAGAUCGACGUCCGACUCGAGUGCGGCGAACGCCCGCGCGAGCCGCUUGCGGAGUGGCUCGGCCGCAUGGACGUCGCCCGCCGCCGCGAUCCGAAUCGUCUCGUUCAUACGGCCCAUGGAUACCCGGCGCGGCGUUUCCGCGAACCCGAGCGGGGGGUAUCCACUGCGUCAUGCCGUCCGCUCCUCCAGAGAACUUCCACUCGCUGCUGGCCACGAUGAAGCGAGCCGGGGCCGCGCUGCGCGAAGCGGGCGUCGACCACAUGCUCGGGGGCGGCCUCGCGAUCUGGGCACGUGGCGGGCCACCGACGGAUCACGAUGUCGACUUCUUCCUGCGCGAGGAGGACGCCGAUCGUGCGCU